ensembl:ncRNA lncRNA:CR44273 long non-coding RNA:CR44273
ACCAACGGCCUCAAAAGUGCGAGAUAUCGCUGGGCGCAAUUGCCGGAGGCGAGUAGCAGCAGGCUAACUUUCAUAUGUAGAUUUCACUUGGAAAUGGUCCAAAGCACAGACGAGCUCCCAAUGAGAAACUGGCCCAUUCAUGCGAUGGGCAAUCAAUCGAUCGAUCGCCCAGAUGUAGACGGACAUAACCAUAGCAAACAAGAUCGGCAGCUGCAAAGGUCAGGCACGGCACGGAUGGAUGAGUGGACCACGUACACGUAUGUAGUUGGGUCUAGGCAAACCAGUGCGUCAGCUGCUGAAAUACGCACGGAUGCGGCGGCGGAGUGACGGAGUCACUCGGAAUUCGGCGGAUCUGGCGGAGCAAACAAACAAACCGGUGCGAAACCGAUUCCAAUACCAAAUCCGAGCCAAAGUCAAAGCAGGUAAACAUAAACAGCCGAGAGGUGCGAAUUUAUGCUAAGUCGAUUGGCAACAGGCCAGUCGGCCAGCCAAAACAGUCAGAGAAAGACCACAAGAUCUCCAAUUCGGCCAACGUGCCUGCUUGGAACUCACGACUUGGACUCACUUCGAGUCUCGACCUGGAAUCUGCGAUCUGGAACUGAAACUGGGACUGGGCAAAUUUCCAAGAUUAUUGUGCGGGCCUGCAUUCGUCGGUAUAAAUAGAAAAUCGGUGGAUCAACGACCUGAAGCCGCUUGCCAAAACAAAAAGCGAAAAUGCGGGCCCAGCCGCUACGUUGCAACAUCAUCCAUCCCCAGCGGCGACAAAUGAACUGGCUGCCGCUCCAGCUCCAUUGGAGUGGUCGAUCCCCUCCUGCAGAGCAGUGGCCUGGACAGUGGUCCAACAAAGUAAUAGCCAUCGGUGGUUAGCUUAUGCCCAUUCGCCGUUCCCGAGAAAUAAGUU